rnacentral:rRNA from 1 species
GGCCUAACACAUGCAAGUCGAGCGGCCGUAGCAAUACGGCAGCGGCAGACGGGAGAGUAACACGUGGGAACGUACCCUUCAGUUCGGAACAACCCAGGGAAACUUGGGCUAAUACCGAAUACGUCCGUAAGGAGAAAGAUUUAUCGCUGAAGGAUCGGCCCGCGUCCGAUUAGCUAGUUGGUGAGGUAACGGCUCACCAAGGCGACGAUCGGUAGCUGGUCUGAGAGGAUGAUCAGCCUCACUGGGACUGAGACACGGCCCAGACUCCUACGGGAGGCAGCAGUGGGGAAUAUUGGACAAUGGGCGUAAGCCUGAUCCAGCCAUGCCGCGUGGGUGAUGAAGGCCCUAGGGUUGUAAAGCCCUUUCGGCGGGGAAGAUAAUGACGGUACCCGCAGAAGAAGCCCCGGCUAACUUCGUGCCAGCAGCCGCGGUAAUACGAAGGGGGCUAGC